rnacentral:rRNA from 1 species
AGAGUUUGAUCAUGGCUCAGAUUGAACGCUGGCGCAUGCUUUACACAUGCAAGUCGAACGGCAGCACGGGGGCAACCCUGGUGGCGAGUGGCGAACGGGUGAGUAAUAUAUCGGAACGUACCCAAGAGUGGGGGAUAACGUAGCGAAAGUUACGCUAAUACCGCAUACGAUCUAAGGAUGAAAGCAGGGGACCGCAAGGCCUUGUGCUCCUGGAGCGGCCGAUAUCUGAUUAGCUAGUUGGUGAGGUAAAGGCUCACCAAGGCCACGAUCAGUAGCUGGUCUGAGAGGACGACCAGCCACACUGGAACUGAGACACGGUCCAGACUCCUACGGGAGGCAGCAGUGGGGAAUUUUGGACAAUGGGCGCAAGCCUGAUCCAGCAAUGCCGCGUGAGUGAAGAAGGCCUUCGGGUUGUAAAGCUCUUUUGUCAGGGAAGAAACGGUAGGGGCUAAUAUCCCCUGCUAAUGACGGUACCUGAAGAAUAAGCACCGGCUAACUACGUGCCAGCAGCCGCGGUAAUACGUAGGGUGCAAGCGUUAAUCGGAAUUACUGGGCGUAAAGCGUGCGCAGGCGGUUUUGUAAGUCUGUCGUGAAAGCCCCGGGCUCAACCUGGGAAUUGCGAUGGAGACUGCAAGGCUUGAAUCUGGCAGAGGGGGGUAGAAUUCCACGUAGCAGUGAAAUGCGUAGAGAUGUGGAGGAACACCGAUGGCGAAGGCAGCCCCCUGGGUCAAGAUUGACGCUCAUGCACGAAAGCGUGGGGAGCAAACAGGAUUAGAUACCCUAGUAGUCC